UGCUUUACUUACCUUUACAACACUGUUUGAAGCAUUGCUUUAAGCUAAGAAACUGGAAAAUCAGGCUUGUUGGGUUUAUUUGAAUCAAUAAGUUUAAAUGGUGGUGUUAAAAAAAACAAAACAAAAAAAAACUAGUUUGACAAGAGUGUACCAACUAUCACGAGAUGAAAGGGAACAUUAAAUGAGAACAGGAAGGAUUUCAUUUUACAAAGUCAUAAAGAGAGAUCUUUAUAAUCCCAGUAAUCAAGGGGUAACGAUGACAAAGCAAACAGAAAGUCAGAGAGGUGCUACUCGUUAUUCGCAGGAAGUGAAAUUAUGAGAGGACAACUCCUACAGUAUUUACCUGCCCUUCUUUUGGGCAGCCUUCUCACCACUUUUUUCCACUAUGCUGUCAUCAAUGACUGGAAUCUUCUCAACACACAACCUCAGCAGCACCAUGUAAAGAACAAAAUCACUGGUCCCUCUAAGGAAAUCAAGGAGAAAAGCAAAGGAAUAGAAAUUUGCUCUCAAGACUCUCAAGUCUGGAAAAAUGAAAAUAAAAAAAUCAA